UACGGGGGGAGCAAGCGUUGUUCGGAUUUACUGGGCGUAAAGGGCGCGUAGGCGGUCAGCACAAGUCAGUUGUGAAAUCUCCGAGCUUAACUCGGAAAGGUCAACUGAAACUGUGCGACUAGAGUGCAGAAGGGGCAACUGGAAUUCUCGGUGUAGCGGUGAAAUGCGUAGAUAUCGAGAGGAACACCUGCGGCGAAGGCGGGUUGCUGGGCUGACACUGACGCUGAUGCGCGAAAGCCAGGGGAGCGAACGGG
rnacentral:rRNA from 1 species